rnacentral:rRNA from 1 species
UACGUAGGCAGCAAGCGUUGUUCGGAAUUACUGGGCGUAAAGGGUGCGUAGGCGGCUUUUAAGUUUGGUGUGAAAUCUCCCGGCUCAACUGGGAGGGUGCGCCGAAUACUGAGAAGCUAGAGUGUGGGAGAGGAAAGUGGAAUUCCUGGUGUAGCGGUGAAAUGCGUAGAUAUCAGGAGGAACACCGGUGGUGUAAACGGCUUCUGGACCAUAACUGACGCUGAGGCAACGAAAAGCGUGGGUAGCAAACAGG